GAGCGCUCUGGGUUUUGGCCCAGGGAGCGGCGGACGGGUGCGUAACACGUGGGUAAUCUGCCCACCGGAGGGGGACACCCUCUCGAAAGGGAGGCGAAUCCCGCGUACGCCCACAGGGGGAUCUCUGUGGGGAAAGGGGCAACCCGCCGGUGGAGGAGCCUGCGGCCCAUUAGCUAGUUGGUGAGGUAAUGGCCCACCAAGGCGACGAUGGGUAGCCGGCCUGAGAGGGCGAACGGCCACACUGGGACUGAGAUACGGCCCAGACUCCUACGGGAGGCAGCAGCCGGGAAUCUUCCACAAUGGGCGAAAGCCUGAUGGAGCAACGCCGCGUGUGCGAGGAAGGCCUUCGGGUUGUAAAGCACUGUCCUCGGGGACGAAGCAAGUGACGGUACCCGAGGAGGAAGCCCCGGCUAACUACGUGCCAGCAGCCGCGGUAAUACGUAGGGGGCGAGCGUUGUCCGGAAUCACUGGGCGUAAAGGGCGUGUAGGCGGUAAGGUACGUCGGGGGUGAAAUCCCCGGGCUCAACCCGGGGGGGUCC
rnacentral:rRNA from 1 species